CCAUUUGUCUGACAUAAGCAGAACAGAGCACAUUCAGGGUACUCCACUGGCAAUAUUCAUUCAUCAUCAGGGUAUUUCGACUCUUUUUCUAACAUAUAUCAUUUGGACACAAAACAAGUGAUGCAUAAUGCAGCAAAUAUUGAUUGCCUCAGCUCUCUAUCCUUUACUGCUUUUUCUUUGUGCACUCUGGGCUUCUCUGACUGUUAUUCGUAUUUUUUUGCCUUUCUUGUUUGUGAUAUCUGCCCUCCUCUUCCUCUUCUGGACUCCCUCAGCCAAGUCAUGGUUGUCCAGAAUGCAAGUGCUGAUAACAAGAGAAGGACCAAGUAUGCACAGAAGACAACAAAUCCAGAAUGGAACCAGACUGUCAUCUACAAGAACAUCCAUUUGGAGCAGUUAAAGAAAAAGACACUGGAAGUAACAGUGUGGGACUAUGACAGAUCCUCCUCCAAUGACUUUCUUGGAGAAGUAAGUGCUG